CCUAUUUGAAAAUUCUUCGGGAAUGGACAUAGAUACAAGCUAGCGCGGAUGGGGUGAGUAACGCGUGGGUAACCCUGCCCUUAAGUCUGGGAUACCAUUUGGAAACAGAUGCUAAUACCGGAUAAAAAGCUACUUUCGCAUGAAAGGAAGUUUAAAAAGGCGGCGUAAGCUGUCGCUAAAGGAUGGACCUGCGAUGCAUUAGCUAGUUGGUAAGGUAACGGCUUACCAAGGCGAUGAUGCAUAGCCGAGUUGAGAGACUGAUCGGCCACAUUGGGACUGAGACACGGCCCAAACUCCUACGGGAGGCAGCAGUAGGGAAUUUUCCACAAUGGACGCAAGUCUGAUGGAGCAACGCCGCGUGAGUGAAGAAGGUUUUCGGAUCGUAAAGCUCUGUUGUUGGUGAAGAAGGAUAGAGGUAGUAACUGGCCUUUAUUUGACGGUAAUCAACCAGAAAGUCACGGCUAACUACGUGCCAGCAGCCGCGGUAAAU
rnacentral:rRNA from 1 species